rnacentral:rRNA from 1 species
UACGUAGGCAGCGAGCGUUGUUCGGAGUUACUGGGCGUAAAGGGUGUGUAGGCGGUUGUUUAAGUUUGGUGUGAAAUCUCCCGGCUCAACUGGGAGGGUGCGCCGAAUACUGAAUGACUUCGAGUGCGGGAGAGGAGAGUGGAAUUCCUGGUGUAGCGGUGAAAUGCGUAGAUAUCGUCUGGAACGCCAAAGGUGAAAACAGGUCGCUGGGGCUGAGCUGACGCUGAGACACGAAAGCCAGGGGAGCGAACGGG